GUCGACGGGUAGCCGGCCUGAGAGGGUGACCGGCCACACUGGGACUGAGACACGGCCCAGACUCCUACGGGAGGCAGCAGUGGGGAAUAUUGCACAAUGGGCGCAAGCCUGAUGCAGCAACGCCGCGUGAGGGACGACGGCCUUCGGGUUGUAAACCUCUUUUAGCAGGGAAGAAGCGAAAGUGACGGUACCUGCAGAAAAAGCGCCGGCUAACUACGUGCCAGCAGCCGCGGUAAUACGUAGGGCGCAAGCGUUAUCCGGAAUUAUUGGGCGUAAAGAGCUCGUAGGCGGUUUGUCGCGUCUGCUGUGAAAUCCGGAGGCUCAACCUCCGGCCUGCAGUGGGUACGGGCAGACUAGAGUGCGGUAGGGGAGAUUGGAAUUCCUGGUGUAGCGGUGGAAUGCGCAGAUAUCAGGAGGAACACCGAUGGCGAAGGCAGAUCUCUGGGCCGUAACUGACGCUGAGGAGCGAAAGGGUGGGGAGCAAACAGGCUUAGAUACCCUGGUAGUCCACCCCGUAAACGUUGGGAACUAGUUGUGGGGGUCCAUUCCACGGAUUCCGUGACGCAGCUAACGCAUUUAAGUUCCCCCGCCUGGGGAAGUACCGCCCGCAAGGCUAAAAACUCAAAAGGAAUUGGACGGGGGACCCCGCACCAAGCGGGC
rnacentral:rRNA from 1 species